AGAGUUUGAUCCUGGCUCAGAGCGAACGCUGGCGGCAGCCUAACACAUGCAAGUCGAGCGGGCGUCGCAAGACGUCAGCGGCAGACGGGAGAGUAACACGUGGGAACGUACCCUUCGGUUCGGAAUAACCCAGGGAAACUUGGACUAAUACCGAAUACGUCCGUAAGGAGAAAGAUUUAUCGCCGAAGGAUCGGCCCGCG
rnacentral:rRNA from 1 species